CAAAAAAAUAGAACAUGUCCUAUUCUUGUCCACAAUUGAGGACAAGAACAGGCAUAUUCUAUUAGUGCCGGCAAUGUGCGGUCCGCAAAAUGCGGAACGCACAUUGCCGCUUUCCGGGUUUUGCGGCUCCGUGUAUCUGCAAAACACGUUGCGGACGUGUGAAUGGAGCCUUAAUCACUUUGCUGUUU